ensembl:lncRNA
AUCGUGAGGCUCCACACUGGCUUGGCAGGAGACAAAGGAAGACAGAAGGAAAAGGAUGGAGUUGCCAAAGGGCAAGCCAUGCCCAGCAAAGGGAUCAGACUGAGUUUGUUUCCACACUCUCAGUGCUCCUCUCUGUUUCACACUGCUGGCUUCUCUCUGUUUCACACUGCUGGCUUCAUGGGUCUGUGCUCAGAACAACCCUUGGCUUGGCUUAACAUUCUGGUGUCACAGUGUUGAAAUUCUUAAAAGUUUUGAACAACAGGCCCCACGUUUUAAUUGUGUACUGGGCUCUGCGCAGUGUGUAGCCAGUCCUGCUCAUUCUCAGCCCAGGCCUAUCAGCGUCUCCAGAGGAGGCCCCUGGUGGGUGUCCACGGAAAGGAGCCGACAGAUGACGCAGCUGCUGGCCAGUCUUGGUAAGGAACCCCUGGCACAAACUCAGGGUGGAGACUCCUUUUAGCUGCUGAGUCUUCCCGAGGGAUCCCCACCCGUGGAGACGUUCCUGCAGGUACUUGCUCCUCUGUGGGAACUCAGGAUGAGCAAGACCAGCACUCCUCUGAAUGACAUUUCCCACUGACUUAGAAAGCAGCUGCUAAGACACCCCAUCUCUUCUGAGAGUCCACGUUUUAGCCUUGAGUCGGCGGGUCACCGUGUGACUUGGUUGGCCUUAGUUUCCAAACAUUCUGCAGCUCUUUAUAAUUUCCUGAUGAUUUUGAAAAAUGCAAUCCUCUAGUGAUUCUGACAAUGUGUAAAGCAUGGUGCCUUUGAUAGAGGUGUCUGGACAUCAGAGGAGCCCCUGCUCUCUUCCCGUGAAGAGUGUGGAGCCCGCUGUGGAGAGUGUGGAGCCGUGAGAGGAUGGUGAGUGUCCACCGUCCUCUAGCCUCUGAGGGAAGAUGCAGAAGAAAUGCAAGGCCUUGUUCCUCCAGUCUCAUAGUCCGGCAUUAUCAGUGCACCCUCUGAAUGAAGCUCAGAGGAAGGGAGGGGCUGAGGAGUCAUCGGCACAGCUGCGAUUCAGAGUCCAGCAUCCUCACGUUCUCCGACAUGACUGUGCAUCCGAUAAGGUCAAGGUCUAUUGGAAUUUGCUGGAGUUCCACUACAGACCCUGUUGGCCUGGAUAUCACCAGUGAAGGCUGCAGAACAGCAAAAAUUCCUGCCUGUUCCUUCCUCUGGAAACUUCGUCUCAGAGGGGCACCUGCCAGAUGCCAGCUGGUGCUCUUCUGUUUAAGGUGUCUAUUGAUCCCUGCUGAGAGGUGUCUCCCAGUCAGGAGGCAUGGAGGUCAGAGACCCACUUGA